AUUUCUUCUCCUCACAUCUUCUCUUGACCUAAUUUUCCUUACGGCGGCUGCGGCAAUUUUUUCACCUUCUCUGGACUGGUUUGGAUUUGACGUGGCUGGGAGAGACUUUCGGUUUUAUUUACCUUUGUUAGGUCAUUAGAGGUGAGACAUUAUCACUGCAGAUUCUCGCUCUCUGACUUUUAUAUUAUGGAUAUU